CCAAGCAGACUCAAGGCACGCCACCCCUACAACAUGGCAGCACAAGAGAUGCUCAAUUCCAUCCCUGAAGACAUCUCCAGAGAUGCCUGGCUGGCAGCAGCUUGGAAGCAGGAGUGGGAGGCAGCUGGCCCCUCCCUCAUGCACAGUUAUGUCUGGGAACCAGGAGACGGCGCCAUAGGAGGAGACGAACUACCUCGCCAGCAGUGGACCACACUGAACCGCUUAAGAACUGGUGUUGGGCGCUUCAACAUGUCUAGUGGGGUCUGGCGGACAGUGCGGCAUGCGAGUGCGGAGCCCUCGAGCAGACAGCCGACCACACCAUCAACACCUACACCAACAUAUAGACCACCCUCAGAGGCCGGCCUCUUCGACCUGGGACCAGAGAUGCUGGCGUGGCUCCACGACACCAAGUUGGAGCGCUGACGUUACACGAGAGAGAGAGAGAGAGAGAGAGAGAGAGAGAGAGAGAGAGAGAGAGAGAGAGAGAGAGAGAGAGAGAGAGAGAGAGAGAGAGAGAGAGACUCCCAAACCAGGGUGGCAAGAAGCAGGACUUCUCAUUCCUCUUUUUCUAUGUUGCGUGUGGCUCCACAUGCUCCAUUUGUGUAGACCAUUUGUUUGGCCACCUUGGUACUCAGCCUUGAUGAGACCUGGCCUGUCUCGCCAAAAAAAUGACCGACAUUUUAAGAAGAUCCAUGGGACCAGUGUUAUUCUCCUUUUCUAUUGACUCCAAGCAACAGCACAGGGAGAGCCAAGACUUUCCAAAAGACCUGUACAACGGAGGCCAGCAUCAUGAAACACAAACUCCCAAACCAGCAUGGUAACAUGAAACACAAACUCCCAAACCAGCAUGGUAACACACAGGACUUCUUCUGAUUCUUCUUAUGUUCUUGGGUCUUGCCUGUGGUUCUACACGCAUCCAGAAAUGCAGACAAAGAACAGCUUGGCCUUUAACAGUCGGAAGCCUCUGAUUUUACUCUACUAAGCCUCAGAUACAGUCUGUUUUCUGUUCUCAUUCAGUCAUUCAGUCAUUCAUUCAUUCAUUCAU